rnacentral:ncRNA from 2 species
UUUUUUUUGCUUUAAAUUAUUUACUUACCCGCCCAUAAUAGAGCUUCAUUUGGAAUGAGGUGUAAGUCCUCAACUGUUCCCGCAACUGUAAUUAGCACUUUGCUUUAAGUCAGAUACAAAUCAAUUUUUAAUGAGCGGG